rnacentral:rRNA from 1 species
CCCUAUGGGGUGCAGCAGGCACAAAGCGAGGAACAUACCGGCGAAUGUGAGUUUUUUAGUCGGGUCAUUCAAUAAUCUAAUCCUCCAUGCGUUCAAACUAACUGUGUUAUCUUAUCAUAAUCCUUCGGGCAUAUCAACAACAAUUCCCGAAAAGGGAUUUGUUUGUUCCGCUUGCGCAAUCCUUGUGUUUUGGUAUAAUACUUUUAGAAUGCCCUUUGAGCAAGGGGCCACGGCAAAAAAACAGUUCAAAGUGCUUUAUUUCAACCCCGCUGUUGUGGUAUACUGUUUGGCGGCAAAAAAAUACAACGAAAGAGUGAUGAGAUUGGAAAGACUUGUCGGUACGGUGUCAAGGGGCAUACGGGCGCCCAUUAUCCGGGAGGGC